rnacentral:rRNA from 1 species
UACGUAGGGUGCGAGCGUUUGUCCGGAAUUAUUGGGCGUAAAGAGCUCGUAGGUGGUUUGUCGCGUUGUUCGUGAAAACUCACAGCUUAACUGUGGGCGUGCGGGCGAUACGGGCAGACUUGAGUACUGCAGGGGAGACUGGAAUUCCUGGUGUAGCGGUGGAAUGCGCAGAUAUCAGGAGGAACACCGGUGGCGAAGGCGGGUCUCUGGGCAGUAACUGACGCUGAGGAGCGAAAGCGUGGGGAGCGAACAGG